rnacentral:rRNA from 1 species
UUAAAUUGAAGAGUUUGAUCAUGGCUCAGAUUGAACGCUGGCGGCAGGCUUAACACAUGCAAGUCGAACGGUAACAU